rnacentral:rRNA from 1 species
UGGUGAAGUCGUAACAAGGUAACCGUAGG